rnacentral:rRNA from 1 species
UCCGUUUGAUCCCGGCGGAGGCUACUGCUAUCGGGGUCCGACUAAGCCAUGCGAGUUGAGAGGGGUAAGCUCUCGGCGAAUUGCUCAGUAACACGCGGACAACCUGCCCUUGGGUCCGGGAUAACCCCGGGAAACUGGGACUAAUACCGGAUAGAUCAAGGAUACUGGAAUGUUCCCUGGUCUAAAACUCCGGUGCCCAAGGAUGGGUCUGCGGCCUAUCAGGUAGUAGUGGGUGUAACGUACCUACUAGCCUACGACGGGUAAGGGUUGUGAGAGCAAGAGCCCUGAGAUGGAUUCUGAGACAUGAAUCCAGGCCCUACGGGGUGCAGCAGGCGCGAAAACUUUACAAUGCGGGAAACCGCGAUAAGGGGACCCCGAGUGCCAGCACCUAGUGCUGGCUGUCCCGCUGUCUAAAUAACAGUGGUUAGCAAGGGCCGGGCAAGACCGGUGCCAGCCGCCGCGGUAACACCGGCGGCCCGAGUGGUAGCCGUUAUUAUUGGGUUUAAAGGGUCCGUAGCCGGCCUAUUAAGUCUCUUGGGAAAUCUGGCGACUCAAUCGUCAGGCGUCCAAGAGAUACUGGUAGGCUUGGGACCGGGAGAGGUGGGAGGUACUCCAGGGGUAGGGGUGAAAUCUCGUAAUCCUUGGGGGACCACCGAUGGCGAAGGCAUCCCACCAGAACGGGUCCGACGGUGAGGGACGAAAGCUGGGGGCACGAACCGGAUUAGAUACCCGGGUAGUCCCAGCUGUAAACGAUGCUCGCUAGGUGUCAGGUGCGGUGCGACCGCAUCUGGUGCCGUAGUGAAAACUUGAAGCGAGUCACCUGGGAAGUACGGUCGCAAGGCUGAAACUUAAAGGAAUUGGCGGGGGAGCACUACAACGGGUGGAGCCUGCGGUUCAAUUGGAUUCAACGCCGGAAAGCUUACCGGGUCAGACAGCAAUAUGAAGGUCAGGCUAAAGACCUUACCGAAUUCGCUGAGAGGAGGUGCAUGGCCGUCGUCAGUUCGUAUCGUGAGACAUCCUGUUAAGUCAGGCAACGAGCGAGACCCA